rnacentral:rRNA from 1 species
GGGGGGAAUCUUAGACAAUGGGCGCAAGCCUGAUCUAGCCAUGCCGCGUGAGCGAUGAAGGCCUUAGGGUUGUAAAGCUCUUUCAGCUGGGAAGAUAAUGACGGUACUAGCAGACGAAGCCCCGGCUAACUCCGUGCCAGCAGCCGCGGUAAUACGGAGGGGGCUCGCGUUGUUCGGAAUUACUGGGCGUAAAGCGCACGUAGGCGGAUCAGAAAGUGAGAGGUGAAAGCCCAGGGCUCAACCUUGGAAAUGCCUGUGAAACUCGAGAUCGUGAGGUCGAGAGAGGUGAGUGGAACUCCGAGUGUAGAGGUGAAAUUCGUAGAUAUUCGGAGGAACACCAGUGGCGAAGGCGGCUCACUGGCUCGAUACUGACGCUGAGGUGCGAAAGCGUGGGGAGCAAACAGGAUUAGAAACCCCGGUAGUCC